rnacentral:rRNA from 1 species
AGCGAACGCUGGCGGCAGGCCUAACACAUGCAAGUCGAACGAACCUUUCGGGGUUAGUGGCGGACGGGUGAGUAACACGUGGGAACGUGCCUUUAGGUUCGGAAUAACUCAGGGAAACUUGUGCUAAUACCGAAUGUGCCCUUCGGGGGAAAGAUUAAUCGCCUUUAGAGCGGCCCGCGUCUGAUUAGCUAGUUGGUUGAGGUAAUGGCUCACCAAGGCGACGAUCAGUAGCUGGUCUGAGAGGAUGAUCAGCCACAUUGGGACUGAGACACGGCCCAAACUCCUACGGGAGGCAGCAGUGGGGAAUCUUGCGCAAUGGGCGAAAGCCUGACGCAGCCAGGCCGCGUGAAUGAUGAAGGUCUUAGGAUGGUAAAAUUCUUUCACCGGGGACGAUAAGGACGGUACCCGGAGAAGAAGCCCCGGCUAACUGCGG